rnacentral:tRNA from 1 species
CAGAAGAUAGUUUAUGUAAAAUGGUAGUUUUGGGGGCUACAGAAGUUUUGGCUCCUCUGA